rnacentral:rRNA from 1 species
GACGAACGCUGGCGGCGCGCCUAACACAUGCAAGUCGAACGGAGUUGUGUUGAAAGCUUGCUGGAUAUACAACUUAGUGGCGGACGGGUGAGUAACACGUGAGUAACCUGCCUCUCAGAGUGGAAUAACGUUUGGAAACGAACGCUAAUACCGCAUAACGUGAGAAGAGGGCAUCCUCUUUUGCCAAAGAUUUAUCGCUGAGAGAUGGGCUCGCGGCCGAUUAGCUGGUUGGUGAGGUAACGGCCCACCAAGGCAACGAUCGGUAGCCGGACUGAGAGGUUGAACGGCCACAUUGGGACUGAGACACGGCCCAG